GUCUUUUUGAUUUUUUUUUAAAGUCUAACCUGCCCAGUGAAUAAUUUAACGGCCGCAGUAUACUGACUGUGCAAAGGUAGCAUAAUCAAUAGUCUUUUAAUUGAAGGCUUGAAUGAAUGGUUGGACGAGAUAUUAACUGUUUCAUUUAAAUUUAUAAUAGAAUUUUAUUUUUUAGUCAAAAAGCUAAAAUAAAUUUAAAAGACGAGAAGACCCUAUAAAUCUUUAUAUUUAAUUUAUUAUAAAUUUUUAGAUUUCUUUUUUUAUAAUAAUUAUAAUAUUUUAUUGGGGUGAUAUUAAAAUUUAAUGAACUUUUAAUUUUUAUUUUACAUUAAUUUAUGAUUUAUUGAUCCAAUAUUAUUGAUUAAAAAAUUAAGUUACUUUAGGGAUAACAGCGUAAUUUUUUUGGAGAGUUCAUAUCGAUAAAAAAUAUUGCGACCUCGAUGUUGGAUUAAGAUAUAAUUUUAGGUGUAGCUGCUUAAAUUUUAAGUCUGUUCGACUUUUAAAUUCUUACGUG
rnacentral:rRNA from 1 species